rnacentral:lncRNA from 1 species
GAAGAGACAAGAGAAAGAAAGAGAAAUAGAGAGAGAGAGAGAGAGAGAGAGAGAGAGAGAACUAAAAUCCUCUGGCUCCAAAUUGGCUAUUUCUAAUACUAUUAAGUUUACAAUUCAAAACUCAAAUUCUCAGGGGUCCCAACUUCAUUAAUCUUAGGCAAACAUUAACGAGGACUUCUGAGUAAGGGAAUGAAGGAACUGUCCUGAAAACAAGUGUGACAGCUGAUGUUAGCUGGAUUCCAGAAUUUGUAAGAAAGUGACCAAGGUAUUCUUGGACCAUCCUGAGAACAGUGGAAAAGACCAUCUGGGAGAAGGAAGAAGGAGGAAAAGAAAUGGAAAGGCCUACUCUUUGGGAGCAGCUGGACAGGGCUGGGUCAUCUUUGUUUUCUGGGCACUGAUGUGACUUCUUGGCUCUGCUGUCCUGAGAAUCCACAGCUUCUUCCAGCCUUGAUCAUUAUCCUUCAAGAAGGAAUGAUCCAGAUUGAUUUUUUCCAGUAGGAUAUGUUGAUCUCUUCCUGAGAUGAAAUGGAAAUUAAUCCCUUCCCCCAGGUUCUGUCUUGUAGCUAGUGCAAAGGAAUUAUACAGUUUUACUUUGGUUUUACAAAUUAGCAGGAGAUAAAAAUCCGAAGCCAGAGCCUCCUUUCAGAAACAGGGACAAUCUCCGGACUAGCAAGAAAAAAGAUACAUUUUCUUCAUGUAUUCUGGAAGCUCUAAGAAGAAUUACCAUCUUGGGUCUAAGAUCAAAGUUCCUCAUCUGAAUUCACAUCUUUUUGAAUGAGGUCCUAAGACCUCAGAUUUGGCAAAUUCAAAUAACUCUAGCCUUGGGAAGUAUGGGAAGGGUUUUGAGUUUAGGAGAAGUGGGAUCAAAGCAGCAUUUGGAAAGAGACACUUCAGUGUACAAUGGGGAAAAGAAGGGAAUCAAGGACAAAUCUUUUUAAUGAUUUUUUUUUUUCAAGGAGCUUUUCAAAGAGAUGAAUCUUAUUUUCUUCCAAUGCUCAGAGCCUAAGAUUAGGCCUUGAAGUUUUCUCAAACCAGUACCAGAGCAAGACCUGGUCAGAAUUGAGAAAUCAACCUGA